CCUACGGGGGGCAGCAGUGGGGAAUCUUCCGCAAUGGGCGAAAGCCUGACGGAGCAACGCCGCGUGAGUGAUGAAGGCCUUCGGGUUGUAAAACUCUGUCUUCAGGGAAGAAACAAAUGACGGUACCUGAGGAGGAAGCCACGGCUAACUACGUGCCAGCAGCCGCGGUAAUACGUAGGUGGCAAGCGUUGUCCGGAAUUACUGGGCGUAAAGAGCGCGUAGGCGGGAAUUUAAGUCAGGAGUGAAAACUGGGGGCUCAACCUCCAGCCUGCUCUUGAAACUGGAUUUCUUGAGGGUAUGAGAGGAAAGCGGAAUUCCCAGUGUAGCGGUGAAAUGCGUAGAUAUUGGGAGGAACACCAGUGGCGAAGGCGGCUUUCUGGCAUACAACUGACGCUGAGGCGCGAAAGCGUGGGGAGCAAACGGGAUUAGAUACCCUUGU
rnacentral:rRNA from 1 species